GAUGAACGCUUGCUACAGGCUUAACACAUGCAAGUCGAGGGGCAGCAUGGUCUUAGCUUGCUAAGGCCGAUGGCGACCGGCGCACGGGUGAGUAACGCGUAUCCAACCUGCCUUACACUCUUGGACAGCCUUCUGAAAGGGAGAUUAAUACAAGAUGUUAUCAUGAGUAAGCAUUUUCGCAUGAUUAAAGGUUUACCGGUGUAAGAUGGGGAUGCGUUCCAUUAGAUAGUAGGCGGGGUAACGGCCCACCUAGUCUUCGAUGGAUAGGGGUUCUGAGAGGAAGGUCCCCCACAUUGGAACUGAGACACGGUCCAAACUCCUACGGGAGGCAGCAGUGAGGAAUAUUGGUCAAUGGACGAGAGUCUGAACCAGCCAAGUAGCGUGAAGGAUGAAGGUUCUAUGGAUUGUAAACUUCUUUUAUACGGGAAUAAACGAAUCCACGCGUGGAUUUUUGCAUGUACCGUAUGAAUAAGGAUCGGCUAACUCCGUGCCAGCAGCCGCGGUAAUACGGAGGAUCCGAGCGUUAUCCGGAUUUAUUGGGUUUAAAGGGAGCGUAGAUGGGUUGUUAAGUCAGUUGUGAAAGUUUGCGGCUCAACCGUAAAAUUGCAAUUGAUACUGGCAGUCUUGAGUACAGUUGAGGUAGGCGGAAUUCGUGGUGUAGCGGUGAAAUGCUUAGAUAUCACGAAGAACUCCGAUUGCGAAGGCAGCUUACUAACCUGUAACUGACAUUGAUGCUCGAAAGUGUGGGUAUCAAACAGGAUUAGAUACCCUGGUAGUCCACACGGUAAACGAUGAAUACUCGCUGUAGGCGAUAUACAGUCUGCGGCCAAGCGAAAGCAUUAAGUAUUCCACCUGGGGAGUACGCCGGCAACGGUGAAACUCAAAGGAAUUGACGGGGGCCCGCACAAGCGGAGGAACAUGUGGUUUAAUUCGAUGAUACGCGAGGAACCUUACCCGGGCUUAAAUUGCAACCGAAUAUGGCGGAAACGCUAUAGCUAGCAAUAGCGGUUGUGAAGGUGCUGCAUGGUUGUCGUCAGCUCGUGCCGUGAGGUGUCGGCUUAAGUGCCAUAACGAGCGCAACCCUUGCCGAUAGUUACUAACAGGUUAUGCUGAGGACUCUGUCGGGACUGCCAUCGUAAGAUGUGAGGAAGGUGGGGAUGACGUCAAAUCAGCACGGCCCUUACGUCCGGGGCUACACACGUGUUACAAUGGGGGGUACAGAGGGCUGCUACCACGCAAGUGGAUGCCAAUCCCAAAAACCUCUCUCAGUUCGGAUUGAAGUCUGCAACCCGACUUCAUGAAGCUGGAUUCGCUAGUAAUCGCGCAUCAGCCACGGCGCGGUGAAUACGUUCCCGGGCCUUGUACACACCGCCCGUCAAGCCAUGGGAGCCGGGGGUACCUGAAGUGCGUAACCGCAAGGAGCGCCCUAGGGUAAAACUGGUGACUGGGGCU
rnacentral:rRNA from 1 species